GAUGAAGAACGCAGCGAAAUGCGAUAAGUAAUGUGAAUUGCAGAAUUCCGUGAAUCAUCGAAUCUUUGAACGCACAUUGCGCCCGCCAGUAUUCUGGCGGGCAUGCCUGUUCGAGCGUCAUUUCAACCCUCAAGCACAGCUUGGUGUUGGGACUCGCGUUAAUUCGCGUUCCCCAAAUUGAUUGGCGGUCACGUCGAGCUUCCAUAGCGUAGUAGUAAAACCCUCGUUACUGGUAAUCGUCGCGGCCACGCCGUUAAACCCCAACUUCUGAAUGUUGACCUCGGAUCAGGUAGGAAUACCCGCUGAACUUAAGCAUAUCAAUAAGCGGAGGA
rnacentral:misc_RNA from 1 species